rnacentral:rRNA from 1 species
UACGGAGGGGGCUAGCGUUGUUCGGAAUUACUGGGCGUAAAGCGAACGUAGGCGGCUUUGUAAGUUAGAGGUGAAAGCCCGGGGCUCAACCCCGGAAUUGCCUUUAAGACUGCAUCGCUUGAAUCGCGGAGAGGUGAGUGGAAUUCCGAGUGUAGAGGUGAAAUUCGUAGAUAUUAGGAAGAACACCAGUGGCGAAGGCGGCUCACUGGACCCGUAUUGACGCUGAGGUGCGAAAGCGUGGGGAGCAAACAGG